UUGAACGCUGGCGGCAGGCCUAACACAUGCAAGUCGAGCGGUAGCACAGAGAGCUUGCUCUCGGGUGACGAGCGGCGGACGGGUGAGUAAUGUCUGGGAAACUGCCUGAUGGAGGGGGAUAACUACUGGAAACGGUAGCUAAUACCGCAUAACGUCGCAAGACCAAAGUGGGGGACCUUCGGGCCUCAUGCCAUCAGAUGUGCCCAGAUGGGAUUAGCUAGUAGGUGGGGUAACGGCUCACCUAGGCGACGAUCCCUAGCUGGUCUGAGAGGAUGACCAGCCACACUGGAACUGAGACACGGUCCAGACUCCUACGGGAGGCAGCAGUGGGGAAUAUUGCACAAUGGGCGCAAGCCUGAUGCAGCCAUGCCGCGUGUGUGAAGAAGGCCUUCGGGUUGUAAAGCACUUUCAGCGGGGAGGAAGGCGAUAAGGUUAAUAACCUUGUCGAUUGACGUUACCCGCAGAAGAAGCACCGGCUAACUCCGUGCCAGCAGCCGCGGUAAUACGGAGGGUGCAAGCGUUAAUCGGAAUUACUGGGCGUAAAGCGCACGCAGGCGGUCUGUCAAGUCGGAUGUGAAAUCCCCGGGCUCAACCUGGGAACUGCAUUCGAAACUGGCAGGCUAGAGUCUUGUAGAGGGGGGUAGAAUUCCAGGUGUAGCGGUGAAAUGCGUAGAGAUCUGGAGGAAUACCGGUGGCGAAGGCGGCCCCCUGGACAAAGACUGGCGCUCAGGUGCGAAAGCGUGGGGAGCAAACAGGAUUAGAUACCCUGGUAGUCCACGCCGUAAACGAUGUCGAUUUGGAGGUUGUGCCCUUGAGGCGUGGCUUCCGGAGCUAACGCGUUAAAUCGACCGCCUGGGGAGUACGGCCGCAAGGUUAAAACUCAAAUGAAUUGACGGGGGCCCGCACAAGCGGUGGAGCAUGUGGUUUAAUUCGAUGCAACGCGAAGAACCUUACCUGGUCUUGACAUCCACAGAACUUUCCAGAGAUGGAUUGGUGCCUUCGGGAACUGUGAGACAGGUGCUGCAUGGCUGUCGUCAGCUCGUGUUGUGAAAUGUUGGGUUAAGUCCCGCAACGAGCGCAACCCUUAUCCUUUGUUGCCAGCGGUUAGGCCGGGAACUCAAAGGAGACUGCCAGUGAUAAACUGGAGGAAGGUGGGGAUGACGUCAAGUCAUCAUGGCCCUUACGACCAGGGCUACACACGUGCUACAAUGGCAUAUACAAAGAGAAGCGACCUCGCGAGAGCAAGCGGACCUCAUAAAGUAUGUCGUAGUCCGGAUUGGAGUCUGCAACUCGACUCCAUGAAGUCGGAAUCGCUAGUAAUCGUAGAUCAGAAUGCUACGGUGAAUACGUUCCCGGGCCUUGUACACACCGCCCGUCACACCAUGGGAGUGGGUUGCAAAAGAAGUAGGUAGCUUAACCUUCGGGAGGGCGCUUACCACUUUGUGAUUCAUGACUGGGGUG
rnacentral:rRNA from 1 species